GCGAGACUGUACUGCAAGUGGACGGAUGUGACAAAACCAUUAUCAUACAAUUUCAUCCAAUUGGUUUCAUAAUUGAAAACGCACCGGUUUGCAAAUGGAAUUUUAAUCCUUGAUAACUUCUCCACUAAUCAUGUAGCCUAACAACACAUGGCCGAAUUUAGUAAAUGUAUUUUGGCAUGGUGUUGCUCGUUUUCGUGUGCUACAGCUCCAUGUGAUUAGAAACCUGCUAUGGAGGACCUCUUUAGUCAAAAUGAAUCUGACCACUGACGAUGCGACUCAUUUAUGGGGAAAUUAUUCCUUAUUGGAACAAUACGACGCGACAGUGGGGACACCGUGGUUGUCAGAGUCGCCUGGUGAGGUGGACCUUACCCGUGCCAUCCCGCUCGGCUUCGUCCUGGGGGCUUUCAUCGUGUUCGCCAUUGUGGGCAACAUCCUCGUCAUUCUGGCGGUGAUGACCAAUAGGCACCUGCGGACCCCGACCAACUACUUCAUUAUAAACCUGGCCAUCGCUGACCUGCUGCUGGGCACCACAGUGCUGCCGGUGUCUGCCACCCUGGAGAUUCUUAACUACUGGGUGUUCGGCCGGAUCUUCUGUGACAUCUGGGCGGCAGUGGAUGUUUUGUGCUGCACGGCGUCCAUCAUGAGCCUGUGCGUAAUUUCUAUCGACCGUUACAUCGGGGUGAGCCAUCCGCUGCAGUACCCGAGCAUAGUGACCGAGAAGCGGGCACUGCUGGCCAUGCUUGGGGUGUGGGUGCUCUCGGUGGUCAUAUCCAUUGGACCCCUUCUCGGGUGGAAGCAGCCGCCGUUGCCGGACAACACUGUGUGCCUCAUCACCGAGGAACCGUUUUACGCACUAUUUUCCUCCCUCGGUUCCUUCUAUAUACCACUGGUGGUUAUCUUGUCCAUGUAUUUUAGGGUUUAUGUAGUCGCCAAACGGACCACCAAGAACUUGGAGGCCGGGGUGAUGAGGGAGAGGAUGAACACGAGUGAGCUCACGCUCAGGAUCCACAAGGGAUCUCAGGUGCAGGAUGACAGUAGCAGCACUGGGAAGGGCCGUGCAAAUCAGGCAAGGAGCUCCCUGACGGUGAAACUUCUGAAAUUCUCCCGGGAGAAGAAAGCAGCUAAAACGUUGGGAGUCGUGGUUGGCAUGUUUACGCUUUGUUGGCUGCCGUUCUUCCUUGCGUUACCCAUUGGUAGGUAUAUAUAUAUUAUAUAUUUUAAACAUAUUUUAUUGACACCUUUCCAAACGAAUAUCCAAUACACAGCAGGCCAGCAGUUUUAAUGAAAUACUAUAAUAAACCUAAUAAUAUGCUAAUAUAGCCAACAAUUAAAACAACGCUCAAUAUGUGAUAAGACACAUUAUAAAAUAUUAUGGUAAAUUAUUGUACAUGUUGGUGCCAUAUCCAAUUUAACAAGCCAUAAUAGGCACAAACCAUAAUCUACCCACACCCAAAACAGAAUAGUGGUGCAGGGGGUGCUGGAGGCAAAAUGCAAAACUGGAGAAAGUCUCAGUGCACUUUCAGUCAGAUGCAAAUGUAUUUUAUUUACCAACUGUUGAAAAGUGUCUGAGAAGCUUUUUCAUUAAUAUCUGGAAGUAAAUCUAAGUGGUCCUUCAGUUCCAUAAAUUCCAUCUCCAGACAGUGGCAUAUAUAUGAUAAUAUUCACCCACUGAAUUACUGCCCUGAUUUAUCAGCAUGAUGCUGUGUGUUAGGUGGGGUCCAGUAGGGGCUGGUGGAGGCCUGUAGGGGCUUGUUGGGGCUGGUGGAGUCUGGUAGGGUCUAUGGGGGCCUGUAGGGGCCAAAACCAGACUUCACUGACUGAUAGCAGUAAAGAGCCCACUACCACCGUCACGGCUGUAGAGAAAACAUCUCAGAGGAAAUUAAACAAAAUAUGUUGUGGAGAGGGGACUCGUGCUGCUGGGCACGUUGUGGUGAGGGACAGAGCAGUGCAGACCGACGAGGGAGGCUAAGAAAACAUGCCUCUUUAUUUACUGCUGUUGUUUUCAGAGUAGAGCUCGCUGUCAAUCCCGUUCUCUUGGGCCUCUCUCUAAGAGGUCUGGUCCAGUAUGGUACUGUAUUAGUUACCUCUUAUAACCCACGAUAAACCAAAAAGCACUUCAAUUCCGUAUAGAUGCAUUGGCUUGGGACAGUUGUGAAGGCAUGCACUAAACCAAAUCAUGCAGAUCUUCCUUAGAAAGUAUGUAGAGCACCUGAAUUGUGAAUGAGUUUGUACUUAUCCAUAGUGUUUUUUUUUUUAAAUCAAAUUGAAUGAUAUUUGGUGGAAACCAGUUCAAAGUAGAGUGACCCAAAGUUGAAAAAGGACUGUAGUUGGUACUGUACAUUGAGAAAGUUUGAUCAUAAAGUUACUGAUCCCCUCCCCCCCGUGUCAAAGACUUGGAUUUAGGAGGCAAGCCAUUGUCAAGGAUUUACUUCCGGCUUUAUGCAACAUCACAUAAAGCCGGAAAUGUAAUACGGCAAUGGUAGCUUCUUAUCUGAACUGAUUUCAAUAUGUACCACCUUAAAACCGUCAUCUCAUGUGCCCCUACCCCUUGCUUUGGCUUUGUUUACAAACCUUAAGCUAGCUACUAGUAGCUAGCUCAAGCAGAAGGUACGACCAAAGAUACUGCUAACCUUUCAUCUGUGGUAUGACUGUUAGCUACAGUAGCAAGCUACUUACCAGCAUGCUGGCAAAAGCACACUGUGUCGUAACUAGUGUAAAAUGAGUGUAAAAUGAACCUUACAUAGUGUAACAUUAACCUUAAACUAUUUCCCAAAGAGUGAAGACAUCCAACAGCAGUGGUUGCUUUUCAUUUCUUAUCUUAGCGAGAUGACUGAAAAUUACGGUCAUGGCACGCGUGUGCAGUGCACAUUUCGAGUGAAGUUGCUUUAUCAAUUUGGGGAGAACAUUCGAUGGGUCUUGCCAGGAAGCUAAUCCUGAAGACAGAUGCAUCAUUGACAGUGGAUCUGGCAAGCACGGACCAUAAUGUAAGUAUCAGAGUUUGAUGAGUGUGACACAGUAGCCAACAUUUUGGGUGGGUUCACGUUAGAUAAUGCAACUGUGGCUGUGACUGCUUUGACUUGUGAACUGUAUAUUUUCUGUAACAAACCUGAUAGUCACCAUAUGAUUUUUGUUCCUUCAUCCCUAAUACUCCAACAUUGAGUCUUAGAGCUGCCAGCACACAGCUGACACAAAAGAAUGUUGUCCACAAAAGGGGUUGUGUGUGUGUCUUUGUGUACUAUUUGUAAUUUACCCCUGAAAAUCAUAUUUUGCCAUUCCAUUGUGUUUAAUUUUUAUUUUUUAAUUACAGUUGAUGUAGCUUGUGUCAUUGGGACUAAUCAUGAUGAUGAGGGGGAAUAUUAUUUCCCUUUCCAUCUCCUUUUGUCUUUCCAAUUUCAUCAAGCUGUAAUGAUAGACAUUUUAGAAAAAUCAACAUCUCUCUGUCUGCACAGCUUCCCAGGCAACUGCAGCAGGAAUGAUGUGAUACAAAAUCAUCUUUCCCAAGGCAAAGAAGGGGGGAAAUUCUGUGAAGCCUGUGAAGACAGACCCAAUAUACUGCUAUGUUGACAGGCUCCUGGAUCUCCUCUUCAACGAGAUCACCCUUGAUAAAAACACAACAAAACACUCUCGCUCACGGCCAGUUGUGAUACAGCCCGGGAUCAAACCAGGGUCUGUAAUGACGCCUCUGGCACUGCAAUGCAGUGCCUUAGAUCACUGCGCCACUUGGGAUUUACUUUGUUUAUUUUUUUUAUUCAAGCAUUCAGACGGGAGAUGAGUGUUACAAAUUGUAUAAAUAAAUGGGUCCUGGGACACUGUAUUGCGGCCGGGUGACAAUA